AUUGAACGCUGGCGGCAGGCCUAACACAUGCAAGUCGAGCGAGCGGCGGACGGGUGAGUAAUGUAUGGGGACUGCCCGAUAGAGGGGGAUAACUACUGGAAACGGUGGCUAAUACCGCAUACUAUCGGAUAACCCAUAUGGGAUUAGCUAGUAGGUGGGGUAAAGGCUCACCUAGGCGACGAUCUCUAGCUGGUCUGAGAGGCUGAUCGGCCACGAUGGGACUGAGACACGGCCCAGACUCCUACGGAGGAAGCAGUGGGGAAUAUUGCACAAUGGGCGAAAGCCGGAUGCAGCCAUGCCGCGUGUGUGAAGAAGGCUUUAGGGUUGUAAAGUCCUUUCGUCGGGGAGGCGUUACCCGAAGAAGAGGCCCCGGCUAACUCGGUGCCAGCAGCCGCGGUAAUUC
rnacentral:rRNA from 1 species